rnacentral:other from 1 species
AAUAUCCUGCUUUGUGCGUUUGCUUGUUGAUUUUUAACCCACAGUGUGUUUUAGGGAGUUGGUCUUAAAAUGCGGAUGUCAGGCCGCUGCGGGCGGUAGGCAGAAACAUUUUAGCUGACACCCACCUGCGAGAAGCGGGUUUUAAAAACACCAAGUGGACGGCUAAGUGGGUAUCU